UAUAUGAACUCACAAGGCGUUGUUGUGACCGUUGACGUCAGAUCUUUUGUAUCAUAAAUAUCAAUGGUAUCAUCCUGUAAACAUGGCCUGUAUUGUUUUUUUUUAUACUGGUAUUAUUAAUCAUUAGUUUUAUAAAAAAUAAUGUGAUAUUUUGUUACAACUUACGCGCACAUUUUUUGGAUUCUGUUACUGUAAUAAUUGUAAUUAUUUUCUUGUCAUUCGAUUCGUCAGAGACAGUGGUGAAGGGGCUUGGUUGAUUAAGCGGAGAAUUUUGCAGCGUCAGAAAAUUUUAACAUCUUACACUCAGGUAGGAGAUUUUUAUGUUCUGCUAAUUUCAGAAUUAAUGUGGGUGGACUUAAGUGGAUAAACAUGAAAUAACAUGCUUGAAGGUAAAAAUGUAUUGCUACAAUAACAACUCUCAUGUAAUUUAGAUCUUAGAAAAGAUCUAGAGGAUUGGUUAACCGAGUCGACAAUACGAAAGACAAACGUUGAUAUCGAAACCAUGUGGGUACAGUAUCGGCUGUUACAAUACCUACAGCAUCUGCAGUUAGAUAACCAUCGUGGAGAGGAUGUAAUCGAUAAUCGUUAUAUCGUAGACUGUUGUGACGAUAAAGAAAAAUUAUAACUACGUGACGAGCAUUGUGCACAAUGCCCGGGCACUGUAGUACAACGUCCGAUUUAUACACUUUGACUGUAACAUAUCGAUUAUCGACUGAUGACGAAAAUUUGUUGAUGUACGUAAUACGAUGUAUACGACCUACGACCUACGACCUACCAUUGCUGCGUGUUUACUUGUGUCGACUUUUGUUUUGUUCACAUGAUUUGCAAUUAUUUUGAUUAUUAUUGUUCCAUCCUAAAACUAUAAAUAAAGUAAAACACACAGUAAGA